rnacentral:rRNA from 1 species
CACGCAGGCGGUUUUUUAAGUCAGAUGUGAAAGGUACCGGCUCAACCGGUGACAUGCAUUUGAAACUGAAAGACUUGAGUAUUGGAGAGGCAAGUGGAAUUCCUAGUGUAGCGGUGAAAUGCGUAGAUAUUAGGAGGGACACCAGUGGCGAAGGCGACUUUCUGGACUGUAACUGACACUGAGGCUCGAAAGCCAGGGUAGUGAACG